CAGUAAGGAAUAUUGGUCAAUGGACGCAAGUCUGAACCAGCCAUGCCGCGUGGAGGAUUAAGGCCCUCUGGGUUGUAAACUCCUUUUAUAUGGGAAGAAAUGCAUCUUUUCUUGGAUGCUUGACGGUACCAUAGGAAUAAGCACCGGCUAACUCCGUGCCAGCAGCCGCGGUAAUACGGAGGGUGCAAGCGUUAUCCGGAUUCACUGGGUUUAAAGGGUGCGUAGGUGGAUAUGUAAGUCCGUGGUGAAAUCUCUAAGCUUAACUUAGAAACUGCCCUGGAUACUAUAUGUCUUGAAUGUUGUGGAGGUUAGCGGAAUAUGUCAUGUAGCGGUGAAAUGCAUAGAUAUGACAUAGAACACCAAUUGCGAAGGCAGCUUACUACACAAUUAUUGACGCUGAGGCACGAAAGCGUGGGGAUCAAACAGGAUUAGA
rnacentral:rRNA from 1 species